AUUGAACGCUGGCGGCAGGCCUAACACAUGCAAGUCGAGCGAGCGGCGGACGGGUGAGUAAUGUAUGGGGAUCUGCCCGAUAGAGAGGGAUAACUACUGGAAACUGUGGCUAAUAACUCAUACUAUCGGCUGAACCCAUAUGGGAUUAGCUAGUAGGUGAGGUAAAGGCUCACCUAGGCGACGAUCUAUAGCUGGUCUGAGAGGAUGAUCAGCCACACAGGGACUGAGACACGGCCCAGACUCCUACGGGAGGCAGCAGUGGGGAAUAUUGCACAAGGGGUGAAAGCCUGAUGCAGCCAGGCCGCGUGUAUGAAGAAGGCCUUCGGGUUGUAAAGUACUUUCAGCGAGGAGGCGUUACUCGCAGAAGAAGCACCGGCUAACUCCGUGCCAGCAGCCGCGGUAAUAC
rnacentral:rRNA from 1 species